UGCGACGAGAGUCCCGUGCUGAUCUUGGC
rnacentral:piRNA from 1 species